AGAGUUUGAUCCUGGCUCAGAUUGAACGCUGGCGGCAUGGUUAAGACAUGCAAGUCGAGCGCGAAAGCCCCUUCGGGGGUGAGUAGAGCGGCGCAAGGGCGAGGAAUACGUUCCUACGUACCCCGAGGUCAGGGAUAGCCCAGGGAAACCUGGAUUAAUACCUGAUGUGGUCCUUCGGGAUCAAAGGCUUGCUGCCUCGGGAGCGGGGAACGUCCUAUCAGGUUGUUGGUGAGGUAACGGCUCACCAAGCCGAAGACGGGUAGCGGGUGUGAGAGCAUGACCCGCCGCAUCGGGACUGAGACACUGCCCGGACUCCUACGGGAGGCUGCAGUAACGAAUCUUCCGCAAUGCGCGAAAGCGUGACGGAGCAAUGCCGCGUGCAGGAUGAAGCCCUUCGGGGUGUAAACUGCUGUCAGGGUUUAGGAACACAAUGACCAGACCCAAAGGAAGGGCCGGCUAACUUCGUGCCAGCAGCCGCGGUAAUACGAAGGGCCCGAGCGUUACUCGGAAUCAUUGGGCUUAAAGCGUACGUAGGCGGGCGCGCAGGCACCUUGUGAAAUCCCUCGGCUCAACCGAGGAAUUGCUUGGUGAACCGCGUGCCUUGAGGCAAGUAGGGGCUGUCGGAACGAUAUGUGGAGCGGUGAAAUGC
rnacentral:rRNA from 1 species